CGCUAGCUACAGGCUUAACACAUGCAAGUCGAGGGGCAGCAUGGUCUUAGCUUGCUAAGGCCGAUGGCGACCGGCGCACGGGUGAGUAACACGUAUCCAACCUGCCGUCUACUCUUGGACAGCCUUCUGAAAGGAAGAUUAAUACAAGAUGGCAUCAUGAGUCCACAUGUUCACAUGAUUAAAGGUAUUCCGGUAGACGAUGGGGAUGCGUUCCAUUAGAUAGUAGGCGGGGUAACGGCCCACCUAGUCUUCGAUGGAUAGGGGUUCUGAGAGGAAGGUCCCCCACAUUGGAACUGAGACACGGUCCAAACUCCUACGGGAGGCAGCAGUGAGGAAUAUUGGUCAAUGGGCGCAGGCCUGAACCAGCCAAGUAGCGUGAAGGAUGACUGCCCUAUGGGUUGUAAACUUCUUUUAUAAAGGAAUAAAGUCGGGUAUGCAUACCCGUUUGCAUGUACUUUAUGAAUAAGGAUCGGCUAACUCCGUGCCAGCAGCCGCGGUAAUACGGAGGAUCCGAGCGUUAUCCGGAUUUAUUGGGUUUAAAGGGAGCGUAGAUGGAUGUUUAAGUCAGUUGUGAAAGUUUGCGGCUCAACCGUAAAAUUGCAGUUGAUACUGGAUAUCUUGAGUGCAGUUGAGGCAGGCGGAAUUCGUGGUGUAGCGGUGAAAUGCUUAGAUAUCACGAAGAACUCCGAUUGCGAAGGCAGCCUGCUAAGCUGCAACUGACAUUGAGGCUCGAAAGUGUGGGUAUCAAACAGGAUUAGAUACCCUGGUAGUCCACACGGUAAACGAUGAAUACUCGCUGUUUGCGAUAUACAGCAAGCGGCCAAGCGAAAGCGUUAAGUAUUCCACCUGGGGAGUACGCCGGCAACGGUGAAACUCAAAGGAAUUGACGGGGGCCCGCACAAGCGGAGGAACAUGUGGUUUAAUUCGAUGAUACGCGAGGAACCUUACCCGGGCUUAAAUUGCAGAUGAAUUACGGUGAAAGCCGUAAGCCGCAAGGCAUCUGUGAAGGUGCUGCAUGGUUGUCGUCAGCUCGUGCCGUGAGGUGUCGGCUUAAGUGCCAUAACGAGCGCAACCCUUGUUGUCAGUUACUAACAGGUUCCGCUGAGGACUCUGACAAGACUGCCAUCGUAAGAUGUGAUGAAGGUGGGGAUGACGUCAAAUCAGCACGGCCCUUACGUCCGGGGCUACACACGUGUUACAAUGGGGGGUACAGAGGGCCGCUACCACGCGAGUGGAUGCCAAUCCCAAAAACCUCUCUCAGUUCGGACUGGAGUCUGCAACCCGACUCCACGAAGCUGGAUUCGCUAGUAAUCGCGCAUCAGCCACGGCGCGGUGAAUACGUUCCCGGGCCUUGUACACACCGCCCGUCAAGCCAUGGGAGCCGGGGGGUACCUGAAGUGCGUAACCGCGAGGAGCGCCCUAGGGUAAAACUGGUGAAAG
rnacentral:rRNA from 1 species